rnacentral:rRNA from 1 species
CAGGAAUAUUUGCUAAUGGGCGAGAGCCUGACCCAGCCAAGUCGCGCGAAGGAAGACUGCUUUAUGGGUUGUAAACUGCUUUUAUACAGGAAUACAAAGGCUCACGUGUAGGCCAUUGCAAGUGCUGUCUGAAUAAGCAUCGGCUAACUCCGUGCCAGCAGCAGCGGUAAUACGGAGGAUGCGAGCGUUAUCCGGAUUUAUUGGGUUUAAAGGGUGCGCAGGUUGGCUUUUAAGUCAGCGGUGAAAUCUGGACGCUUAACGUCCAAACUGCCGUUGAAACUGGGAGUCUUGAGUAUGGAUGAAGUAGGCGGAAUUCGUUGUGUAGCGGUGACAUGCAUAGAUAUAACGAGGAACUCCGAUUGCGUAGGCAGCUUACUAAGCCAUAACUGACGUUCAUGCACGAAAGCGUGGGGAUCAAACA